CGUUGGCCACGCUUCGGCCAAGGCAUGGUCAACUAUCUCUUUAUCAAGGUGAAGGGCCGUGGUUUGCUCUGCAUGGCAGGAUGGGAAAUUCUAAGGGCAGAACUCAGAUGUGAAAGGGGGUCCCUCACCUUCUGGGUAACAACUUGGCCAAGCUGCCCCAAGCUAGGACGGUCCUUGCCACACCCUACAUCACUGUGGCAUAUUCAAGUCACAGACCCGCAUGAGCAGUGGGUUUUUCUAGCUCCUCCUCGACAGCUCCACCUCCCCCCAAGAGGCUUUCCCUGGGUCUCUCCAUUCCCUCCCUCCCAUAAUCCAACUGUCAGUACCACCACCCCGUAGAAAUGGAAUGCACAGCCAUGACAGUUGGUCUCCAAGGACAGGGCAAGGGCAGGCUCAUGGGCAGCAAGGUGAGAAGACACAAGCUAUCCUCCAAAGUCUUGAAACCCAGCACCGAGCAUGUCGUCCCCCUGCUCACAAUCCAGUUGUCGAAGACCAGACUCCUUAGGAUGGCAUUCAAGGCUUCUACCUCCCCAUCCACUUCCUGCCCCAAGUCCUGACACCGCCUCAGCCAACUCAGCCCUUUGCACCCCCUGACCCUCCACAGCAGCCUGCCCGGACCUCUCCAACGACCCAAUCCCAUCUUCCAUUCGGUCAGGCACAGAAAUACGCUCAUGUUUAUGAAACACCCGCAAGGCGCUGGAGCUGUGAAUAACACAGGGUCUCUGCCCUCCUGCAGCCUCCAGCUUAGCAGGGGAGACCCACACUGAAAUAAUUAACACAGAGCAUGGAUUUCAAAAUGAAAAGAGGUCAAAGUGUUGUGAAGGAGCAGGGAACAGUUAGUAAGAAGAUCCGACCAGUUAGGGGGAGCUUCUCAGAAGUAGUUUACAGUAAAAGAUGAAAGAUGAGGAGACUAAGCCAGGAAGAGAGGGGUAAGAGUGGACAAUGCAGGGUGGAAGUGGAAGACCGGGUGGUGCACGGACCGGGUGGAGCACAAUCCAGAUGGAGAAUGGACCAGGUGGAGCACGAUCCAGGUGGAGCACGGACCAGGUGGCGCAUGGACCAGGUGGUGCACUGACCAGGUGGAUGACCCGUGGACCAGAUGGGUGAAGCAUGGUCUGGAUGGAGCAUGUGACCAGAACCAGACAUUCUGUAGAAUGAACAGCAAGAAUAUCAAGGAAUGAAAGGAUGGACAACUCUGAAGAGCAGCGAUGAACCCUGAAAGCAUCCCUGCCCCUCCUGGGUCUCUGGAGAAGCAGGCAAGCUCACCUUCCCCACCCGGCUCCCCAACACAUGGACACCAGCCUGGACUGAGCAUCCCCGCAGCUCAGACGGCUGGUGGCUGGUGGCUCUUCUCACUCUUCCAGACCGAUGUCAAUGCCCCACUCACCACCUGCCCAUUGGCUUGGCCAUUCUCUCAAUGGCGCACGGAUCUUCCUGCUCGUGUGUGCCCUCCUUGCUUGGCCUGAUAGAAUCACUAGGGUAUUUGUCUGCUCCGCAGAGGCUCACCCUAGCACUGACUGGUCCACACAUCCUCUCAGGCACUCAGCCAUGAGCACGGACUUGCUAGCAUCACCCUGGGUGGAGGCCGAGACUGCCCUGAUUUACUGUUCUUACCUCUCCAGGGCUCACAGGCUUGGGGGGGAGAGGGACAGACACUCAAUCCACGUGUUGAUAAGACAUCAGGGAAGUGCAUGAAGUGCUAGGAUUUCAGGCUUACAACUUCCAUAGUCCAGAAACAACAAGGAGCUUCAGCCCCUACAGAGGCCCAGAGAAAGCAAAGAGAGGCAACUCCCUCCUCCCAAAGACUAGGGCACAGGGUGUAGAGGCAAACAGGAGACAGUGAUGACUCCCCACCCCCUCAGACCUCAUCAUCUGGAAGCAUGUAAACAGGAGGAAUGGGGGGAAAAAAUGAUACACACUCAUCUUAAUAAUUACACAAAGUCAGAGAACACUAUUUCUUUCUUUCUUUUUCUUUUCUUUUCUUUUUUCUUUUACCAUAGACCAAUACGGAUGUCAGUACGGUUUAAAAAAAAAAAAAAAAAAAAAAA